ACAAAGACAUAGACGGAGACAAGUAAGCGUCAUCGGAUUCCCACAGAAAGGUACGUAUUGCUGAGAGCGUACCGCAAUCCCGCGUUGAAAUUCACUCCCGAGUCGAGCCUUGAACCGACGACAGAAGGAUUCAUUCCUUUGACCGCAGUAGAGGUUUCCGGAAGCCCCCGUUACGGGCAUCAAGCUCAGAGGUUACUGCCGUCGAUUGAAUGACGUUGACGACUUGCAUGUAUACUUCUGUAAUUAGGGUGGUACCACGGCAUUCGUCCCUUGC
rnacentral:ncRNA from 1 species